UUUCCUAUCGCGUGUAUUAUUUCUACAGCAUUUUUGGAAUAACUUGAUUGUUUUACUCUAUAGCUGUUUUGAAAAUAUUUGGAUUAGAAAAAUUAAUUGUAUUAUAAAUGUGCCAUUAUAAAAUUGAGGCGAAAAUACUAUUGAGUAUGGGUGAAAUUUAUCUGUGUUAAAGUUAAAGCAAUAAAAAAAUGUUUGUUAAGUAUCUACGGCUGCAUGUGUUAUUGACAAUACUGAGUGCACAGAUACAUCAUGGGUUAUGUGCGGACGGCAACGAUGCUAAGAAUCUUAGAACACAGUUGUUUGUAACGGACGGAUAUUUUACCAAACCAGAAUGAUUUUAGCGAAAGUGUAAAUUUGAUAAAAAGUUACUUUGCAUCAGGAAAGUUACUUGUAUGACUAAAGGUACAAUUAUUAUACAUCUGAUAAAGAUUUGCUCUGAAAAUUUAGAUUGGAAAUUAAUGAAAUCUGAAGCUGCACUUGCCUUUAACUUGCCGUAUAGUCCAUGCUGUUGAAAUAUCUUGAUGUAUGUAUGUAUUAAAGGGUAAUGUAAAACUAAACAUUAAUUUGAAAACGAAAAAGAUAACCCGCUUUUAAAAUUAUUUGAUAAGGAGAAUGUUUAUUAAGUUUUAAGUCAAUAAAUCAUACAUUUCUAACAGAAAUCUUGCUUUAUAUAUUUUACGUUUUUAUUGCUCAAAAAAAUCUGAACGAAAUAUACGAAAAGUGAAAAUUGUCGUAAGAUGUUGCUGACAUGAAAUGGACCAUUAUUAAUGUUAAGGGAAAUAACUGACAGGUAAAUAUAAUAUAUAUCUCAAUGAAUUUAAUCUAGAAGUAUAAGUUGUAUUUUCAAAAGUACUAGCCUAUCUUAUCUAUAGUCUUUAUUUAAUUACUUUUAUUUCUGUAUGAAAUUUGUUAUAAGAAUGAUUACUUUCCAGGGAAAAUUUGCCAUAUCAAAUCUGUCUAGAACCUUACGGCUCUAUAUGUGGCUUUUCCUGGUGGACCCUUGUCCUUGCUAUAUGUCUCUUUGCAAAUGAAAUAUUGCUCAAGUUUUGAACACUAAUCUAACCUGACCUCUAUUACUUUUACAAAUGAAAACUCCACAAAAAAUUCAUCUGACUAGGUUUCUCAAUAUAUUAAAUCGUCUUUCAUUUGAUUUAGAGGUGUACGUGAGUUUUUAUUUACUGUCCAUCAAUGAGUUGAGUGAGACAACCGAUACUCUGAAGAUUACAGGAUACCUGUGGAUUAUAUGGUAUGAUGAAUUUCUACAGUGGGCACCUGAAGACUAUGGUGGACUCGAACAUUACCACUGGCCGCAGGGAGAUGCAUGGAAACCGGAUGUAGCACUGAAGAACUCAUACUUAGAUUACAAAGAACUGGGUGUAUCAUCUCUAAAUAUGCUGGUUUAUUCAGGUGGUAAUGUGGAAUGGUAU